rnacentral:lncRNA from 1 species
UCUGUCUAACAAAUUCUGCUGGAAACCUGACUAUUCACAUGAAAAGAUUAAAAAUGGCCCCUCUACCUUCUGCCAUAUACAAAUUUUAAUUCAAAACAGACCUAAAGUCAAAAAGACAAGAGCUAUAACUAUAAACACUAGUAGAAAAUAUUGUGUAAAUAUUUAUAACCUAGUAUUUACCAUUUAGAAGAACAGCUAUUUUAAAACUUAUGAAUAACAUCAUACUUAAAGAUGAGAAAGUAGUUUUCCUGCUAAGAUCAGGAACAAGGCAAGGAUGCUCCUCUUACCAUCCUUUUCAACAUCAUUUUAUAAGUCCAAGUUAGUGCAGUAAGACAAGAAAAUGAAAUAAGUAUACUGAUUGGGAAGAAAGAAAGAAAACUAUGUUUACAGAUGAUGUGACCAUUUUUGUAAAAAACUUGAAAGAACAACAACAAAAAAAAAAUCCUGAGACUAAUAAGUAAUUAUACCAAGGUUGCAGGAGACAAGGUUGAUAAAAUGAAAAAAAAAAGGAAAUUGUUUUCCUAUAUAUCAGCAAUGAACAAGUGGAAUUUGAAAUUGAAAACACAAUGUCAUAUACAUUAUCUCAUCCCAAAAUGAAACACUUGAGUAUAAUCCUGAUGAAAUAUGUGCAAGAUCUGUAGGAAGAAAACUACAAAACUCUGGUGAAAGAAAUCAAAGAAAAACUGAAUAAAUUGAUUGAUGUUCUGUGUUCAUGGUUAAGACUCAGUAUUGUCAAGAUGUCAGCUCUUCCCAUCUGGGUUUACAGUUCCAAUGCAAUAUCAAUCAAAAUUCCAGAAAGUUAUUAUUUUUAUAUUGAUAAAUUAACUCUAUAAAUUUUAUACAGAGAUGUAAAAGACCCCCAAAAUAGAUAACAUAAUAUUAAAUAAGUUGGAGGACUGGCAUUACCCAACCUCAAAACCUAUUAUAUAGUAAUCAAAUAGAUCAACGGACCAGAAUAGAGGACCUAGCAAUAGAGCUACAUAAGUAGAACCAAGUGACCAUUAACAAAGGGGUAAAGGCAGUACAAAUGGAGCAAAGAUGGUCUUUUCAACAAAAUGUGCUGAGCAUGCAGAAAAUGUAUCUAGAUACAGACCUUACACCCCCACAGGAAUCAACUAAAAUAGAUCAUAAACCUAAAUGUAAAGGGCAAAACUAUAGAAGAGAGUAUAGGAAAAGAUGACCUUGGGUAUCUAGAAGACACUAGAUAGAACAUCAAAGUCAUGAUAAUAUGAAGGAAACAACUGAGAAUCUGAACUUCAUUAAAACCAAAAUCUUGGGCAGAGGAUGUAACUCAGUGGUUGAAUGCUUGCCUAGCAUGUGUGACGCCCUGGGUUUGAUCUAUCUAUCUAAAUAUAUAUAAUACGUGUGUGUGUGUGUGUGUGCGUGUGCGUGUCUUUGCAAAAGAACACUGUCAAGAGGAUUAUAGUAUCUUUCAGUGUAGUUUCACUUCCCUAAAAAUCCUGUUUGUUUCCCCUAUUCACCCCUCCUUCCCCUUUCUGCUGGCAAUCACUGAUCCUUUUAUUGUCUCCAUGGUUUUGUCUCUUCACAACUGUCACAUAGUUGGAACCAUA